rnacentral:lncRNA from 1 species
AGUUCCUCCUCCGAGGCCUGGCGGGUGUGCUCCACCGUGAAGUUGAUCCCUCCUCCAGCCUGGUGAAUGUCCAUGUACGUGGCCCCUGCCAACUGAACGCAAGGCUCACUCAGGGAGGUUACAGGUAGGUCUGCAGAACCUACCUCCAGGGGUGAUACUAGAGGACAGUUAUGGGGGUUCAGCAGUUAAGAGCAGGUGCUGCUGUUGCAGAGGAUGGCGGUUCAGUCCCCAGGGUGCGCAUGGCAGCUCACAACCACCUGUAACUCCAGCUACAGGGGAAUCUCUCUGUGUCUCUGUCUCUUCUCUCUCUGUCUCUGUCUCUGUCUCUGUCUCUCUCUCUCUCUCCUCCUGUCCCCACUUCUCUCUCCCCUCCCCUUCCCUUCUCUCCCCCUCCCUUCUUCCCCGCUCUCUCCCCUUCCUCCACUUCUCUCUUCUUUCUCCCUCGCGCGCGCUCGCGCCACACACACACACACACACACACACACACACACACACACACACACACACAAAGAGAGAGGGAGAGGGAGAGAGGGAGGAAGAGGGAAAGAGAGAAUUAGGAAAUAAAAAUAAAAUCAAUAUUACAAGAUGGUUAAGACGCAGCUAGGCAUGGUGCAAGGCCAGCACUCAGGAAGUAGAGGCAGGGGCAUUAGAAGCUCAAGGCCUACUUCAACUAUAUAGGGAGUUACAGGCCAGCCUGGGCUACAUGAGACCCUGUUUCAAUCAAUGAAAUUAGUAAGCAAUAGAGCACAGAUACCGACAGCCAGAUCAGAAAGGAAGGCACUAGUCCCCCCCAUGUGCAGAAGGGAAUCCCCAAAGGUACUUGAGAGGCAGAGAUGGGCAGUGUGAUGGGUGGGCAAAUGGGCAUCUGAAAGCAGUAACAGUCGAUCAACACUCAGAUAUAGGAGCAUUUCAAUGUGUGAAGUCAGCCCCAGUGUAUAACCAGCCGAGCCUCAGCACCAUUCUGUUUGAGAAAACAAAGCUUGUAGGGUUUCAGGAGCCCGAAGCAAUUACUCAGCUCUCUACUGACCGAGGGCAGACUCCAUGUCAUGUGGGCACAGUUUGGAGCCUAAUUUCUGUCACUCAGGCAAAUAAAGAGGUUCUUUCUACAACCCCAGUAAUGGCUGCACAGUAGGGACCAAUCAAAACAUACGAGCCUUUGGGCUAGACUUGGCCUGGACCUGCCACCCUCGGCUGGCUACACCCUCCCUUCCCAGACACAACUUUCUCCAUCAUCUGUAUGAUAGCAGCAUUUGGACCAUAGUCUCUAAGGUGCCUUUUAGCUCUGACAUUCAUUGCAAUAAUAAAAUUGUCUUUUAAAGCGCUUCUGAUUUGUUGAAGAGGACACACGAUGGCUGAAGAAUAGGUUUCUUAUUCUGUUUUCCAAAAUAACAGAAUGUCACUGCUAGCCUGCACUUUUAAGGUGGGAACCCUUAGCAAUGCGAUCAUGGCUUUGCUUGGUAAGACGUUUCAUUAUUUUGGUUUAGCAACCUGUUUUUCCAAAUUUAUCCACAGUGAACAGUGAUCUUCAAGCUAUUUCUUGAAACUCAUUCAAAAGUUACUUGUUCAAAAUUACAAAUAAUGAUUUAGAAUACAGGAUGGAAGUGGAAAUUAGCCAGCAAGUUGCUGAACUCUGUUCUAAAAAAAAAGUCUAUAGUUGAAAAUCUUCAAUACCUCUUUUCUUAAACUAGUUGCUAGCUCUCUAUAAAUGUGUCAUAUAAAGAUUUGGGGGGGGCAGUUUCUAUUAAGUUUGAUGGUCAGUUGUGUUCUUUAUUAAGACAAGUAAAGAUAAACCAUUAAAAAGAUAUGUGGCACAGGUUGACCACUUAGGCAAUCACUAGUAAGACAUUCCCCUGUUUGCACUGUAUUGAUUUGCUGCCGUCCGUUCCAGUUACCUUCAUUGCAAACUCGUGGACUCUUUCACCCGCCCACACCGGAUGUGUGUGUGCGUCCACCAAACCUGCAACAAAAGGUAAGAAACAGAAAAGGUGCUUAGACCAUGCCCCGUUCUGUAUCACACAGCUCUGGAAGCAUGGUGGUAGUUACCCAGCUUGGAGGAGGGCAAGAGGGCAAGACUUUGUGAAGUUCCCUCUAUUUGGCUGAUCUAGAACGUUCUAAUAGAGGAGAAUAACUCAACACAAGACAAACAUCCCUUAGAGAUAGCCAGCUCUCAUGUUCAGUAACUAUGCUCACCCAAAGAAACCUUGAAGUGGCUAAACUACUAACUGAACAAAACUGGAACAGUAUCACC